GAUGGUAAGGAUGUUGAUUCGCAGACAGUAAGCAAGAUGAAAUUUGCCCACAUCGAGAAGAGGCCUCCUAGGGUGCCGCGGCCUCCUCCUAAAUCAUCUGCUGGUGCUCCAGUUGCUACAAAUGCCAAUCCUUCAGGUGGAGUGCCACCUCCUCCACCAGGUGCACCACCACCACCACCUCCUCCACCUGGUGGACCACCUCGUCCACCUCCUCCACCUGGAAGCUUGCCAAGAGGAGCAGGAAGUGGUGAUAAAGUUCACCGGGCUCCGGAACUAGUAGAAUUUUAUCAGAGUUUGAUGAAACGCGAGGCAAAGAAGGAUACAUCAUCUUUGAUUUCUUCAACAUCUAAUGUAUC
rnacentral:lncRNA from 1 species